UACGGGGGGAGCAAGCGUUGUUCGGAUUUACUGGGCGUAAAGAGCGCGUAGGCGGGCUCUAAGUGAGAGGUGAAAGGUUCGGGCUCAACCCGGGAGAGUGCCUUUCAUACUGGGAGCCUUGAGUGCGGGAGAGGCAAGUGGAAUCCGGGUGUAGCGGUGGAAUGCGCAGAUAUCAGGAAGAACACCGACGGCGAAGGCAGCUCGCUGGGACGGUACUGACGCUGGAGGCGCGAAGCGUGGGAGCGAACAGG
rnacentral:rRNA from 1 species